CAAAGGGGAUUAAAUUCCGCGAAGAAGAAGCUCGAACCAGCGUUGUAGAUGGAGAAAAAAUGACAGAAAUUGAGGCUUUAAUCAAGUUUAAUUGUGGUUUAAUUAGCCGGUGUGUAAGUGCAAUAAAAUUAGGAUAAAAGAAAAGAAAAG